GCCGCAUUGUCUGGACUGCUGUAUUUGCAAUCAGAGCAGAUAGCAGAAGCACAAGCACUUCCUGCACAGCUUCUUGGCUGCGACCUGGACUGACCCCACGAACAGCAAGUCAGGGGGACUGUGAGAAUUCAAGGAGCUGUGGGUGAGGUGGCCAACUUCUUCCUCUUCAUGCUCAUCUUUCCCAAGUGACCUUCCAAGGAUCUGAAGCUUUACUCAAGAGGCUUCUCAGGAAUGUCUCCAGCAGCAAUACCAUAGGCAGUGUGUCAUCCAGUGUGAGCAUCCUGGAGGAAAACACAGGUCCUGGUCUGUUCAACUUCCUCCCCAUGGACGACUGUUUCUUUACUUUUUCUGCUCAAGGGUAAAAGAAGGACUGAGGGUCAGUAUUACACUUCAUUCUAUAAAUUUUUUUAGUCUGCAAGAUUUCUAAGAAAGUUUUCGCACUUUUGAAAACCCAAUACACUAGAGAUAUAAUAGUUCUACUCUGGUUUACUCUAUUCACACACUGUGCUUUUGUAUUUCAGAAUCUUAUAUGAGUCUGCUAGAGGCAGUAAGAGGAAAGGACCUUUCUCAGAGUCAGAGAUUGCAGAUGACCUCAUGCUGAAGAGACAGGAUGCAAUGCACAAAGCUUCUGGGGUACCCACAGGGCACCACGAGGAACUUGGCAGCAGAUGCAGCCUGCUGAGUGGAGCCCUGGCACAGCAACCCCUCCGUGCAUUAGUGCUCCGCGGGCCUCAUUGUGUUACACUCCUCACGAUCCCUGCUCUGCAAGCUCUGCAAGAGGCUCUUCUGUCCAGUGGAGCUCUGGGCUCCCACUGCAUGUGCAGCCAACUCCAUUGUUCUGUUGGUGAUGAUAACACAUGGGCUUUUACAGCUAAGAAAGCCUCCAUGCAAGCUGGGGGGCUUCUCAAGGCACAGCAGGUUCAGAGAAUGUGA
rnacentral:lncRNA from 1 species